UGUUCCGUGACUGCGUACCUUUUGUAUAAUGGGUCAGCGACUUAUAUUUUGUAGCAAGGUUAACCGUAUAGGGUAGCCGUAGGGAAACCGAGUCUUAACUGGGCGCUCAGUUGCAAGGUAUAGACCCGAAACCGGGCGAUCUAACCAUGAGCAGGUUGAAGAUUGAGUAACAUCAAUUGGAGGACCGAACCCACUUAUGUUGAAAAAUGAGGGGAUGACUUGUGGCUAGGAGUGAAAGGCUAAUCAAGCCCGGAGAUAGCUGGUUCUCCCCGAAAUCUAUUUAGGUAGAGCCUCGGACGAAUACCAUUGGGGGUAGAGCACUGUUUGGGCUAGGGGGUCAUCCCGACUUACCAACCCCAUGCAAACUCCGAAUACCAAUGAGUACUAUCCGGGAGACACACGGCGGGUGCUAACGUCCGUCGUGGAGAGGGAAACAACCCAGACCGCCAGCUAAGGUCCCAAAGUUAUGGCUCAGUGGGAAACGAUGUGGGAAGGCACAGACAGCUAGGAGGUUGGCUUAGAAGCAGCCACCCUUUAAAGAAAGCGUAAUAGCUCACUAGUCGAGUCGGCCUGCGCGGAAGAUGUAACGGGGCUAAGCCAUACACCGAAGCUGCGGCAGCAACUUGUUGCUGGGUAGGGGAGCGUUCUGUAAGCGGAUGAAGGUGGUUCGAGAGGACUGCUGGACGUAUCAGAAGUGCGAAUGCUGACAUGAGUAACGAUAAUGGGAGUGAAAAACUCCCACGCCGGAAGACCAAGGUUUCCUAUCCCAUGCUAAUCAGGGUAGGGUAAGUCGGCCCCUAAGGCGAGGCGGAAACGCGUAGUCGAUGGAAAACAGGUUAAUAUUCCUGUACCGAUGUUCAUUGCGAUGGGGGGACGGAGAAGGCUAGGUGAGCGCGGCGUUGGUAGUCCGCGUGAAAGUGCGUAGGCUGAGGGUUUAGGAAAAUCCGGACCCUUAAGGCCGAGACACGAGACGAGCAUCUACGGAUGCGAAGUCAUUGAUGCCCUGCUUCCGGGAAAAGCCUCUAAGCUUCAGAUGAACAUUGACCGUACCCCAAACCGACACAGGUGGUCAGGUAGAGAAUACUAAGGCGCUUGAGAGAACUCGGGUGAAGGAACUAGGCAAAAUAGUACCGUAACUUCGGGAGAAGGUACGCCGCUGAUGGUGAUUGACUUCGCGUCAUGAGCUGUUGGCGGUCGCAGUGACCAGGUGGCUGGGACUGUUUAUUAAAAACACAGCACUGUGCUAACACGAAAGUGGACGUAUACGGUGUGACACCUGCCCGGUGCCGGAAGGUUAAUUGAUGGGGUUAGCGUAUGCGAAGCUCUUGAUCGAAGCCCCGGUAAACGGCGGCCGUAACUAUAACGGUCCUAAGGUAGCGAAAUUCCUUGUCGGGUAAGUUCCGACCUGCACGAAUGGUGUAACCAUGGCCACGCUGUCUCCACCCGAGACUCAGUGAAAUUGAAAUCGCAGUGAAGAUGCUGUGUACCCGCGGCUAGACGGAAAGACCCCGUGAACCUUUACUACAGCUUGGCACUGAACAUUGAACCUACAUGUGUAGGAUAGGUGGGAGGCUUUGAAGCACUGGCGCUAGUUGGUGUGGAGCCAUCCUUGAAAUACCACCCUUGUAUGUUUGAUGUUCUAACAUUGGCCCCUUAUCGGGGUUGUGGACAGUGCCUGGUGGGUAGUUUGACUGGGGCGGUCUCCUCCCAAAGAGUAACGGAGGAGCACGAAGGUUGGCUAAGUACGGUCGGACAUCGUACGGUUAGUGCAAUGGCAGAAGCCAGCUUAACUGCGAGACAGACACGUCGAGCAGAUACGAAAGUAGGUCAUAGU
rnacentral:rRNA from 1 species